rnacentral:rRNA from 1 species
CUGACACAGGGAGGUAGUGACAAAAAUACCAAUACAGGGCAUUAUAUGUCUUGUAAUUGGAAUGAGAACAAUUUAAAUCCCUUAUCGAGGAUCCAUUGGAGGGCAAGUCUGGUGCCAGCAGCCGCGGUAAUUCCAGCUCCAAUAGCGUAUAUUAAUGUUGUUGCAGUUAAAAAGCUCGUAGUCGGAUUUUGGCUUAGUCGAACUGUCUGCCAAUUGGUAUGUACGGUUUGACGACGCAUUCCUUCCAGAGGCUCUGUGAACCUUAAAUGAUGAACAGUAAGAAUCUGGAUCUUUUACUUUGAAAAAAUUAGAGUGUUCAAAGCAGGCCUAUGCUCGAAUAGGUUAGCAUGGAAUAAUAGAAUAGGACUUUGGUUCUAUUUUGUUGGUUUCUAGGACCGAAGUAAUGAUUAAUAGGGACAGUUGGGGGCAUUCAUAUUCCAUUGUCAGAGGUGAAAUUCUUGGAUUAACGGAAGAUGAACUUCUGCGAAAGCAUCUGCCAA